rnacentral:miRNA from 1 species
CAUUGGAUCCAUCGGAUCCAUCUUUUUAUUUUUUAAUACUUAUAAAAAAAGAUGGAUCCGAUGGAUCCAAU